AACGAACGCUGGCGGCAGGCUUAACACAUGCAAGUCGAACGCCCCGCAAGGGGAGUGGCAGACGGGUGAGUAACGCGUGGGAAUCUACCCAGAUCUACGGAACAACAGAGGGAAACUUCUGCUAAUACCGUAUACGCCCUACGGGGGAAAGAUUUAUCGGAUUUGGAUGAGCCCGCGUAAGAUUAGCUAGUUGGUGGGGUGAUGGCCUACCAAGGCGACGAUCUUUAGCUGGUCUGAGAGGAUGAUCAGCCACACUGGGACUGAGACACGGCCCAGACUCCUACGGGAGGCAGCAGUGGGGAAUAUUGGACAAUGGGCGCAAGCCUGAUCCAGCCAUGCCGCGUGAGUGAUGAAGGCCUUAGGGUUGUAAAGCUCUUUCACCGAUGAAGAUAAUGACGGUAGUCGGAGAAGAAGCCCCGGCUAACUUCGUGCCAGCAGCAGCCGCAG
rnacentral:rRNA from 1 species